rnacentral:rRNA from 1 species
GAGGAACUGGCGCGUGCUAUACAUGCAAGUCGAACGCUUUGUGGUUCAACUGAUUUGAAGAGCUUGCUCAGAUAUGACGAUGGACAUUGCAAAGAGUGGCGAACGGGUGAGUAACACGUGGGAAACCUACCUCUUAGCAGGGGAUAACAUUUGGAAACAGAUGCUAAUACCGUAUAACAAUGACAACCGCAUGGUUGUUAUUUAAAAGAUGGUUCUGCUAUCACUAAGAGAUGGUCCCGCGGUGCAUUAGCUAGUUGGUAAGGUAAUGGCUUACCAAGGCGAUGAUGCAUAGCCGAGUUGAGAGACUGAUCGGCCACAAUGGGACUGAGACACGGCCCAUACUCCUACGGGAGGCAGCAGUAGGGAAUCUUCCACAAUGGGCGAAAGCCUGAUGGAGCAACGCCGCGUGUGUGAUGAAGGGUUUCGGCUCGUAAAACACUGUUGUAAGAGAAGAAUGACAUUGAGAGUAACUGUUCAAUGUGUGACGGUAUCUUACCAGAAAGGAACGGCUAAAUACGUGCCAGCAGCCGCGGUAAUACGUAUGUUCCAAGCGUUAUCCGGAUUUAUUGGGCGUAAAGCGAGCGCAGACGGUUAUUUAAGUCUGAAGUGAAAGCCCUCAGCUCAACUGAGGAAUUGCUUUGGAAACUGGAUGACUUGAGUGCAGUAGAGGAAAGUGGAACUCCAUGUGUAGCGGUGAAAUGCGUAGAUAUAUGGAAGAACACCAGUGGCGAAGGCGGCUUUCUGGACUGUAACUGACGUUGAGGCUCGAAAGUGUGGGUAGCAAACAGGAUUAGAUACCCUGGUAGUCCACACCGUAAACGAUGAGUGCUAGGUGUUUGAGGGUUUCCGCCCUUAAGUGCCGCAGCUAACGCAUUAAGCACUCCGCCUGGGGAGUACGACCGCAAGGUUGAAACUCAAAGGAAUUGACGGGGACCCGCACAAGCGGUGGAGCAUGUGGUUUAAUUCGAAGCAACGCGAAGAACCUUACCAGGUCUUGACAUCCCUUGACAACUCCAGAGAUGGAGCGUUCCCUUCGGGGACAAGGUGACAGGUGGUGCAUGGUUGUCGUCAGCUCGUGUCGUGAGAUGUUGGGUUAAGUCCCGCAACGAGCGCAACCCUUAUUACUAGUUGCCAGCAUUCAGUUGGGCACUCUAGUGAGACUGCCGGUGACAAACCGGAGGAAGGUGGGGAUGACGUCAAAUCAUCAUGCCCCUUAUGACCUGGGCUACACACGUGCUACAAUGGCGUAUACAACGAGUUGCCAACCCGCGAGGGUGAGCUAAUCUCUUAAAGUACGUCUCAGUUCGGAUUGUAGGCUGCAACUCGCCUACAUGAAGUCGGAAUCGCUAGUAAUCGCGGAUCAGCACGCCGCGGUGAAUACGUUCCCGGGUCUUGUACACACCGCCCGUCACACCAUGAGAGUUUGUAACACCCAAAGCCGGUGGGGUAACCUUCGGGAGCCAGCCGUCUAAGGGGGGACAGAAU